rnacentral:rRNA from 1 species
AUGCGGACGAGUGGUGCUGAUGGUUUCGGUGCGGCUGCUCCUGCUCGUAUCGCCGCCACGACGGCGGUCGCUGCCGAGCACUUGCCUAAGGUCAUCAGAAGCCAGGAAAGCGAUAUGCCGCCGGAUCCGGAGCUUGACUCCAGACUCCCGCAACAUGAGUUUGACUCCGAGUUGUGCGCCACUGAGAAGUACCAAAAGCUGAGUUGUGUGCACGGGCACACUCCCGCUCGACGUGUAUGCACGGAGGGAUUCGACAUUGGCAGGUGGUUUCUCAGUUGCACCUUAGAGGGAUAUUGA